GUAGCUCAGCCGGUUAGAGCGCUAGCCGCACAUGCUGUAGGCGCCGAGUUCGAGCGUCGGCA
rnacentral:tRNA from 1 species